rnacentral:rRNA from 1 species
UACGGAGGGUGCAAGCGUUAUCCGGAUUCACUGGGGUUAAAGGGUGCGUAGGUGGGUUGGUAAGUCAGUGGUGAAAUCCCCGAGCUUAACUUGGGAACUGCCAUUGAUACUAUCAGUCUUGAAUACCGUGGAGGUCAGCGGAAUAUGUCAUGUAGCGGUGAAAUGCUUAGAUAUGACAUAGAACACCAAUUGCGAAGGCAGCUGGCUACUCGGAUAUUGACACUGAGGCACGAAAGCGUGGGGAUCAAACAGG